GUAUUCAAUUAAUUACCCCAAAACACCGGCAACUAAGUGGACAUCCGGCAACCUUCUGCCUUCUUUCUAUCCGAAUUUCGUUUGGUAAAGUCGUCGGCGCGCUUCUAGUUGUUAAAACUAAAAUAAAAUGAAACCUAUUGCUAUAAUAUUUAAUGCAUGCAAUGCUCAGGUUAUGGGCUUGUAUCUUUUAAAAACUGAUAUUAUGAUCAAUGUAAUAAAAUGAUACACAUACGGCAUCAGCACGAUAAUUUGAAUGGAUCACCAUUUCCACGUGGUGCAAUGUGAGACACCUGGAGACACUUAGAAAUAUUCUAGGGCAUUGAAAACAGCCCGGGGCCUGGAAUUCAAUCUAAUCAUUCGUUGAUCUCCCUUAAGAGGAAUAUUGCGAGGUAUUGGAAUACUUAUCCAAAACUGAAAUUUGAUUGAAACAGUGAAAAGGAAAUCUAAACUAUGAAAAUAUCAUCUUUCACAAGGUUUUCUACUGAUUCGUCUAGAAAAACCUAAAAGGUGGUCUCCCCAGGUGCUAAAUCGCAAUCUUUUAACAAAGUACUUCAUUAUAUAUAAAAUAAAUUCUUUAUUUAUGUGUACAAAAUAAAAUAUUUCAACUGUCUAAAUUAAA